GACGAACGCUGGCGGCGUGCUUAACACAUGCAAGUCGAACGGAAAGGCCCUGCUUUUGUGGGGUGCUCGAGUGGCGAACGGGUGAGUAACACGUGAGUAACCUGCCCUUGACUUUGGGAUAACUUCAGGAAACUGGGGCUAAUACCGGAUAGGAGCUCCUGCUGCAUGGUGGGGGUUGGAAAGUUUCGGCGGUUGGGGAUGGACUCGCGGCUUAUCAGCUUGUUGGUGGGGUAGUGGCUUACCAAGGCUUUGACGGGUAGCCGGCCUGAGAGGGUGACCGGCCACAUUGGGACUGAGAUACGGCCCAGAUUCCUACGGGAGGCAGCAGUGGGGAAUAUUGCACAAUGGGCGGAAGCCUGAUGCAGCACCGCCGCGUGCGGGAUGACGGCCUUCGGGUUGUAAACCGCUUUCGCCUGUGACGAAGCGUGAGUGACGGUAAUGGGUAAAGAAGCACCGGCUAACUACGUG
rnacentral:rRNA from 1 species